rnacentral:rRNA from 1 species
UACGUAGGGGGCUAGCGUUGUCCGGAUUUAUUGGGCGUAAAGAGCGUGUAGGCGGCCAAGUAGGUCCGGUGUGAAAACUCGAGGCUUAACCUUGGGCGUGCGAUGGAUACUGCCGGGCUAGAGGAUGGUAGAGGCGAGUGGAAUUCCUGGUGUAGCGGUGAAAUGCGCAGAUAUCAGGAGGAACACCAAUUGCGAAGGCAGCUCGCUGGGACGUAACUGACGCUGAGACGCGAAAGCGUGGGGAGCAAACAGG